GAAGUACUCCCUCCGUUCGGAAUUACUUGUCGCAAAAAUAGAUGUAUCUAGACGUAUUUUAGUUUUAGAUACAUCCAUUUCCGAGACAAGUAAUUCCGAACGGAGGGAGUACGAA
rnacentral:pre_miRNA from 1 species